UUUUAUUUGAGAGUUUGAUCCUGGCUCAGGAUGAACGCUGGCGGCGUGCCUAACACAUGCAAGUUGAGCGAUUUACUUCGGUAAAGAGCGGCGGACGGGUGAGUAACGCGUGGGUAACCUACCCUGUACACACGGAUAACAUACCGAAAGGUAUGCUAAUACGGGAUAAUAUAUUUGAGAGGCAUCUCUUAAAUAUCAAAGGUGAGCCAGUACAGGAUGGACCCGCGUCUGAUUAGCUAGUUGGUAAGGUAACGGCUUACCAAGGCGACGAUCAGUAGCCGACCUGAGAGGGUGAUCGGCCACAUUGGAACUGAGACACGGUCCAAACUCCUACGGGAGGCAGCAGUGGGGAAUAUUGCACAAUGGGCGAAAGCCUGAUGCAGCAACGCCGCGUGAGUGAUGAAGGCCUUCGGGUCGUAAAACCCUGUCCUCAAGGAAGAUAAUGACGGUACUUGAGGAGGAAGCCCCGGCUAACUACGUGCCAGCAGCCGCGGUAAUACGUAGGGGGCUAGCGUUAUCCGGAUUUACUGGGCGUAA
rnacentral:rRNA from 1 species